GAAGUAACUUGAAAUCAGAAAAACAUGUUUCUAGUUUUUAAACAACAUGGCGCUGUUGGAUUUCUGUGACCAAGCUGAUCUUAAAGCAUUGUGUGACAUCAACGUCCACCAUAGAGACAAAAGACAGUUAGUUCUAAGCCUCCCAAAGAGGGAAAACAAUUUGCGGCUCUGACUUUAACAAAAAAAUCAAAGUAAAGGACACAAAAAUAUUUUUUAUAAGCUGCCAAAGUGAGAAAUGGAGCCUGGCAAGAUUCAAAAGUGAAAGCUAAUGAUAAGACUUGCAGCAGCAAGAACAGAUUUGAUGAUAAAGCUCUCAGACGCAAAGUAAGUUCGAGAGGGGCAUAUGGUAAGAUGGAGCCUAAACAUGCCCUAUGUGUCAGUGUCUCAUGGCUGAGUUCAAUGUUCCCUCUUUUUGGGUGUGUGAAAUUCACACAUGUGAACACACCUCCUGCCCACCGAGAAGGGAGCCAUCUGACCUUUUGCUUGUGCUGGAAUUAAUGAAGAGACUGUCAUUUGUGAUCUCCAUGAUUGCAUGCUCAUCUCACACAUGCAGAUGUUGUAAAUGUACAGCCAUGAUACCUUCCUCUUUGUUCUGGUUCACAUUUCCUGAAAUCGCCCAUCGUUUUUCUCAAAACCGUAAAGUUCAGAAUCACAUUUUCACAUUACACUCACGCAAUGAAUGCGACUUCUCGCAAGAUCAUACGCCUCAAAAUUUUUUAUCUGCGCUAAAAAAAAUCCAACAUUGUUUGUUUCUGAUCAUACAGACAGAGAGGGUAAAAACUCUACUGGGAUAUGACUACGAGCUAGAUCAAAAACAGAUUUGACAUACAGAUUUUCCAGCUAACUGUGAAUGAAUGAAUAAUAAGCAUUUUAUUACACAGACAUACAUAAACAUGCUUACAUAUUCAAAUGCAAGAGGCAAUCUUGAAUGCAUGGAGUGAAAAAAUACAUUACAGCAAAAAAGAUCCAGAGAGUUAAUUAAUGAAAAUCCAGUUACAGUGACUUUAAACAUUCCUGGAUAGCCAAAGUUAGAAGUCUUUUGUGCACCUUGGGACCAGACAAAAGGCUUUGACAUGUUUCCUGCUCAAAUAGGACAAAGUGUUGCUUGGGAACUUGCCAACUCCUGCUGAUUCUUUCAAAUUUUACAUCUACAUUUAUGUGUUCAAGAAAUGUGUUUUAAAGGACUUUGUCAAUAAUGAGAACCUGUUGCUGCUGGGAGAACAGAAGAGUCUCCUGGUCUCAAUCUCCUGGUUAUAGAAGCCACAGAGAAUCUGCUGAAAAUGGGUGUAUAUAUGUAUUGUAUGCAUUUGACCUGAAUGGGCAUAUAUUGGUUUUAACAGUUUUGAGGAACUGAGUGUAAGUACUGAGAUGGUUGCUUUACUUGUGUUUAAUUGGAAGGCAUCGGAAGUCUCUCACUGUGAAAAUAGGUUUUAUUAAGAGAGCAUUAGGAAAAUAAAUAUGACCAUGUGGCUCUCAGAGUGGGAUUUAGUGCUUUAGCAAUUCAGUAAAGCUGUAAUGAGCCAGAUUCUUGGACAAUCUGCCAGUCAAACCAGUGUGCCUCCAUAAUGACCUGAUAGAUCCAGCAUUUAGGUUGCUAAACAGGACCCAAAAGACACCAGCGACA